UUUCUAGGUAUGGCACUCGUGAUUUUAUGAGUAGGUAAUUAAUUUAUUCACAUUUCUUUUUUUUAAUCUUUCAUGUUAAAUAAAUUUUAAUAUUUUUAUGCAAAGAUUGUAUUUAAUAUUUAUUUAUCUUUACAUAUUUCAUUGUUUUAAUGUUAUCUUUACAUAUUUCAUUGUUUUAAUGUUAAAGUUUUGUGUAGCUAUUUAAUUAAUAAUGUCUUAAAUGUGUUUGUUUCUAUUAUAAUCAAAUGUGUAAGGGAAACACUACUACAAUACUGGUUCUAUGAAUAUUUUGUUUUGUUUGUAUAAUUCUACUUAUUGUAAACUCUAUGAUUUCUGUCGUGUCUAACGAAAAAGACUUACCUUGCCCUUUUCAAUUUCUUUUCGGCCAUUUGGCAUGUAAUUUUUUGGUGCGGAUGUAAAAACCACCACAAAAUGUAAUAACUUAUCUGUUACCGCCGUUUUGGCGGUUCGAGUCAUGGGCCUCAUCCUGGCUUUGGUGUUCCAGGAACCUAAAUUCAUUUUUGGGAAUUAACCUCUUCAAAACAAAGGCCAGAAAUUUCAUUAUUAUCAUUAUUAUUAUAUUAAGGUUAUGUAACUGUUUUAAACUUCUACGUGAUCAUCAUGCAAGUUUCUACUAUUGAACUUGAAUCAACGAAAUAAUAUUGAUUUCUACACUUUGGAACAUUUCCGGCAAUUAAUUUUCAUUAUGAAGAAAUAAUUAUAAGAAGACUUCAAUAAUUUAAUAUUUGUUUGAUGAAUUAUUUUUUUUAAUAAUAUUUGUUGAUAAACUUAACCUGUUUUUACUUAAAUCAAAUAUAAAUACUUGGUACGUACCUAGUUGUUCACGAGCUCGUUACUUAAUAUAUAAUACUCAGUAAUAUUUUGUUAAUAUGUUAAUUGUUUUAUUGAUGUUUGUUUACAUUGUUGUUUUUUACAAAGGCCUAUAAUUACAACCAGCACCAAUCUGAUAUUUGUGUUAUUUGUUCCCAGUGGUUUAUUCCAAUAAGUUUUAAUUCCUUUUAACAUGUUAUGUUUGGUUAUAAAGGGCAAUAUAUUCUCAUGUCUCUAUAGUAAUUUAUACUAAUCCUUUCGUUAAUACAUAAUAACAUAGUACAGCAAAUGUAAACGAUCCGACAUAUCUGAAACUUUCAUGUGUUAUAGUGUCCUUGGGUAACUUCCAAUGCCACACAUUGAGGUUAUGUAGGAUGCUAUAGCAGAUGAAUACCUUUCAGUCAAAACAAUAUGUCACAAAAAUGGUAGCAGAGCUUGGGUUUGCUGUUUACUAUGUUAUUAUUUUGUUUUAUAUAUAAUUGUGAAGAAACUAAAUCAUAAUUUUAAUUUUAAGAUUUUAUAACCUUAAUUAUUUUGUUGUGUAAAAUAACUCAUAAACAUUCUCUUUUGUGUGAUAUCUCUUACCUUUUGCAAUCUUAAAGACCUAAUUCUUUUUAUGAAUUUUAAUAGUAUUUUUAAUAUUGGUAAACUAUUUUUUUUGUAAUCUCUUAGCUAAUAUUUUAAAGUACAAAACUGUAAUUGUUUUAAUGAUAGAUAAUAUUAUUUGCAUAUUCUUUAUUAACAUAAUUCUAAAUGGUAUUUCAGUUUAAAUAUUGAUGCAAGUUUUGUUUGUUCAGAGAAUUUUUUGAAUAUUAUUUCCCGUUUUCAUGAUACUUUAAUUUUUUUAAAUCUUAUUUUGCAGAUUUUCAUGUGUUGAGUGGUCUGUGGUUUACUGUUGUUACUUCAGGGAAUUUUUUUUAAUUGAGGUUGUUUUGUUUACUUUUCGUGUAUCACCAUUUGGGGCACGUUUUUCGUUACCUAACCAUGAUAGGUAUUUUUAGUUUUUGUUGCCAUCAUUUAAUAAGUUCUUUUUAUAGCAGGUUGUUUUAAUAAUCUCUUAUGUUGUUUCUUCUGCCCAUGUUUUGUUAUAGGUCAUCUUGGGUAUGUAUUUUAGAUAUUGAUUUCUUUUCAGAGACAUUUUGCCGUUUCCCUAUUAUGUUCAUUUAAUGUGUGUUCUAGUGCUUUUCAUUGCACAGUUUAAUAAUUGAGGUUAUGGUAUUGUUUUAUAAGUAUCUAAUUUGCAGUAUAUUUACUUUUGAAUCAAGUAUUUGGGUAAUAUAUUCUUUUUGUCUUAAAUUGUGUUGGAUCAUCAUUUAAAUUUUUUCUCUUGAGCCUAUUAAUUUUUUUCAUUUAAAUUUCACUAUUUUGCUUUGUUUUGUUUUAAUUAUUUUGUUUCAGUAAGAUGCAGUAAAAGGUCAGUGGUUUUCUUGUUAGAAUUUUGUCGUUUUCUCUUUUGAAUCUUUUCUUUAAGCACUAUUAAAAAGUUUUAUAGUUUUAAUGUAUUGUAUGUAUGUAAUUUUCUAUUCUGGGAGUAAGUGACUUCCAGACGAUAUUUGGGUUGUGUUUUAAUUGUGUUGUCGACUUUGGUCAACUUUUUAUUUUAGGCAGGUCCUCUGAGCCAGAGCCAGUGAGCCAGUGCCAAGUCCUGUUGAGAAGUGUUUAGGCUUCACCAGCACUUUUCAUUUUUUUUUUGCAGGCCUCAGUCUUUUUUUUUAUCAAACCAUAUAUCUGCCAUGGAAGAUCCAAUCACUCAUUUUUAAUAAUAGUUUAAAUUUAGAUUAAUAUGUUUUGUGAGUUUAUUUGUUUUUAAAUAAUAAUUAAUAUUUUUUUUUUGAGUGCUAGCUUUGAUUCAUUGCUUUUCUAUUUUGUUUGUCUUGCUAGGGUCAUCUUUUAAAAUAACAUUUUAAUAUAUCCGUUUUAUUUCUAGUCUGGUCAUCGAAAACAUAUACUUUUUUUGAAAUUUCUGUUUUAUAGGUUAUGUGUUGUUAGUUCAUGUAGGUGUUGUGUGUCUUGUACAUCUCUCCACACGAUACAGCUGUUUCACAUGUGUUCCACACAUUACACAGUGUAGUGUCAUCAACUUAAUUAUUUUUUCAAUUAUUUUGUUUUGCAAGUUUUUGGUUUUGAAUUUAGAUGUUCCUUUUGUUUUAAUUUUGUGUACUAGGUUGUUGCUGUAUGACAUCUUUCCGGUGGGGUGUCUGCUGCAUGGAGUUCGCUAGGGUGGUUGCGGCUUCGGCUCGGUGUUGCUGCGACUCACCGUUUCAGCCAUCUCUGGUGAAUUUCGUGUAGUGGAGCUCUGCUUGGUGGGAUUGUCUUAUAGUGACACAUUCUUCAUUGUAAGGUAUGGUUUCAACUUUGAUUUCUUCUCAAAAAUUUUCCUUUCAAUAAAUUUCAGGCAGUCUUUUUUUAUUAUUAUUAUUCACUUCACCUUUGCUGAAUCGUAACUUUAUUCAUUAUAUAUUUUGUGUUAGGGGUCAAGCUUGCUUUUGCAGGUGCUAAAUUAUUUUUGAGUGUCUAGGGUAUGGGACUUAGUCAUUCAUCUUUGGACGGCCAUUUUCUUAAUUUUUUUUAAUUUUCAAUUUUGUGUUGUCGUUUUGAAUAAGCAUUUUAGAAUUUUGUUUUCUUUUUUUUGUGGCUCAAAUUUCUUUCGUAUUUGAUCGGUAUUGUCAAUUAAGUUUUGUUAAACUUUGAUUAGGUAUUCUUCUAUUUUGAAACUUUUUUAAAUUUUAUCAUGAGGUGUUGUAUGAACUGCAGUGUUCAGAGCGGUAUCGUAUGAUCAGGAUCUUAGUGACCAGGAUUUAUGCAGGGGUGUAUAGUCCCCAUUUUUCUUUAUAAGCCGACGGGCAUUUUAUACGAGGUUUUGUCCUCUUUUGUUGUAGUAUGUAACUGGCUGUCCUGGGUACUUGUACCACCAUUCUGUCCUGUUUGUUCUACAAUCACACAUUAAAAAUAUUUUGUAUUUCGGUAGUCUGAUCUUCGAUUAAUUUACACUUUAGCUUUGAGAUUUUUCUCUCGCAGGUAUGUGAGCAUCCUACGUUCAGCUAAUUGAUGUUGAUGUCGAGACCAAGUGUUCUAUAAUUUUAUUGAGCGAGCAUUUAAAUAAUUUUUUUUUAAUAUGAAGGGGUGAGUAGUCCCCAUUUUGUUUUAAUUAUUGUAUGAAGAGGUGUAUAUUCCUCAUUGAGUAUGGAGUUUAUAAGGAGAAUAUUUUGUUGUUUCUCAGUAAAUAUAUAGGGGUUUUAUGCUCGUGUCUGUGCUGUUUGUUUCUUCAGCAGUAUAAUGAUUUAUUUUUGAUUUCUAUAUUUAAUAUAGUCUUUCCUUUUUAACAUCAUUAAUUCUUAUGUCUCUUUUUUUUUUUUUUUUUUUUGGGUAAAUUGAAUUGUUUUUGAUGGCAACUUUAAAAAAAAAAAAUUUUUUUUAGAUGGUAGCGUCUGUUUUGAGGGGAGGAGUGUGUGCCGUUUCUAGGUAUGGCACUCGUGAUUUUAUGAGUAGGUAAUUAAUUUAUUCACAUUUCUUUUUUUUAAUCUUUCAUGUUAAAUAAAUUUUAAUAUUUUUAUGCAAAGAUUGUAUUUAAUAUUUAUUUAUCUUUACAUAUUUCAUUGUUUUAAUGUUAUCUUUACAUAUUUCAUUGUUUUAAUGUUAAAGUUUUGUGUAGCUAUUUAAUUAAUAAUGUCUUAAAUGUGUUUGUUUCUAUUAUAAUCAAAUGUGUAAGGGAAACACUACUACAAUACUGGUUCUAUGAAUAUUUUGUUUUGUUUGUAUAAUUCUACUUAUUGUAAACUCUAUGAUUUCUGUCGUGUCUAACGAAAAAGACUUACCUUGCCCUUUUCAAUUUCUUUUCGGCCAUUUGGCAUGUAAUUUUUUGGUGCGGAUGUAAAAACCACCACAAAAUGUAAUAACUUAUCUGUUACCCGCCGUUUUGGGUGAGUAAAUGUUUCGUCUGUGGGAAAAGUGUAUCCCAUGAUAAUUAUUUGUUAUGUUUGGAGGUUAAUAUUUUUGUGGUUUCAUUCCAUAGCGGUUCGAGUCAUGGGCCUCAUCCUGGCUUUGGUGUUCCAGGAACCUAAAUUCAUUUUUGGGAAUUAACCUCUUCAAAACAAAGGCCAGAAAUUUCAUUAUUAUCAUUAUUAUUAUAUUAAGGUUAUGUAACUGUUUUAAACUUCUACGUGAUCAUCAUGCAAGUUUCUACUAUUGAACUUGAAUCAACGAAAUAAUAUUGAUUUCUACACUUUGGAACAUUUCCGGCAAUUAAUUUUCAUUAUGAAGAAAUAAUUAUAAGAAGACUUCAAUAAUUUAAUAUUUGUUUGAUGAAUUAUUUUUUUUAAUAAUAUUUGUUGAUAAACUUAACCUGUUUUUACUUAAAUCAAAUAUAAAUACUUGGUACGUACCUAGUUGUUCACGAGCUCGUUACUUAAUAUAUAAUACUCAGUAAUAUUUUGUUAAUAUGUUAAUUGUUUUAUUGAUGUUUGUUUACAUUGUUGUUUUUUACAAAGGCCUAUAAUUACAACCAGCACCAAUCUGA